GCCAUGCGCCCACAGGGGGCGUGGCCCCCAGCGCGCGCGGGAAAGGGGCCGGCGUCGCGUGCGCGCGCACAGUCGGCGGCCGCGCGCAGCACGCUCGGGGCCCGGAUGGCGGCGGCGGCGGCUGGAAGCGGGACGCCCCGGGAGGAGGAGGGGCCCAGUGGGGAGGCAGCGGCUCCGCAGCCCCAUGCCCCGACGAGUGCGCCCGGGGCUCGUCUCUCAAGGCUGCCUUUAGCGCGAGUGAAGGCUUUGGUGAAGGCGGACCCCGACGUGACCCUCGCGGGACAGGAAGCCAUCUUCAUUCUAGCACGAGCCGCGGAACUGUUUGUGGAGACCAUUGCAAAAGAUGCCUACUGCUGUGCUCAACAAGGAAAGAGGAAAACCCUCCAGAGGAGAGAUUUGGAUAAUGCAAUAGAAGCUGUGGAUGAAUUUGCUUUUCUGGAAGGGCAGAGCAAGAAUUAUUUUAGGUUUGCAUGGUCAAGGCCAAUGCCCAGAGCUGGUCCUGGUAGAGGUCAAUCCUCUGGUUUGGGGACGGGAGUUGCUCACUAUCAAGCUUGCUGCCAUCUUCCGAAGAAUCUACCUUGUGGGUGCCUGAACCAUGGCAACUGGGAGAGCCAUGCUCAAUUCGGAAGCCCAGGUCAGGCCAGCCAUGGUGGCCACGAUUUUUCAUUUCUUGAGCUCAAUCUAUUAUUUGUGUAUAUGUGUGUGUGUAUAUAAUAUUAUAUGUAGCACAUAUAUUUUAUAUAUGUAUUUGGAUGGCGAGUUCGUGUAGGUGAAUGAAGGUAGACACUGUAUUGUGUUACAGUCUCAUCUGAAAUCAGGGAUAUGUAAUCUUAUGCUUUUCAUUCAUUUAUUUAUUAGUUCAAAAAAGUAUUUAUUAAAUGUUUAAAAGUGCACAACACUGUACUAAGAAGGAAGUUGGGGUGCAGGGUACAGAAAGGUAAAAAGACCAAGUGCCCUGUCUUCAAGGAGCUCGGAAUUUAUGGGAGAGACAGGCAUGUAACAUCACGUUUUACACCUGACAAAAAUCAUCAAAAGAGAGGUAUAAAUCAGGUAACAUGAGCAUUUUGGUGAGGAAAGGAUCCAUUCUCUCCAUGGGGAUGAGGGACCAUGCCCCUGAAGAGAUAACCUUUGAGGUAGCCUUGAAGGAGGAAUAGAAUUUCACUUUAACAUUUACAAAAAUAAUUAGUCUUGGCAGCAAAGCUCUUAACGAUUUGUAUUUGUAUGGUGGUUCCCGCUGAGCAGCCUCACGCACUUUAUCUUAUUUAAUUGGAACAAUAACUUUGCAAGGUUAAGUAAGAGGAUAUUACUAUUAUUUUUUUAAGGUCAAAUUGAGGCUUAGAGAACUUUUAUGACUUGCCUCAGGUGACCUAUUAUUUAGUCAGGGGAGGAGGGAGUGCAGAUAUGCAGCCAGUAUCUUCUAUCUGCACGUACUUUGAGAGCCCUUUCCCCUCCCGCCAGCGCUUUUCCAGAGGCGCAUUCCAGGAAUUUGUCCAUCCCUGGUCACUCAUAACCUUCCUAACCAGCCUAAGCGACCAUCGAUGGUUCUCAAAGUGUGGUCCCCACCCCAGCAGCAUCCACGUCACCUGGAACCCUGUUAGAAAUAUAAAUUCUCCUCAGCAAUCUUGGCAGUCGUGUUUUAACAAGGUUUCCAGGUGAUUCUGCUGCAUGUUCAAAUGUGAGAGCCCCUGGCAUAGGGCAUCUAAGUAACACAACUUUUAGGAUUCUCUUAAAAUAGAAUGAAACAUGAGGACUGCUUCUGUAAAAAAAAAAAAAAAAAAAAAAAAAAAAAAAACCUAAUUAAUCCUUACAGUGUCAGAAAUUACGGCAAAUUGUGUUUUCCUUUUCCUUGUUUGGGGAUUUUUAUUGAGCGAGGUCAUGAGACAUUGGGCUGGAAUAAAUUUGGUAGUAAAACUGCAUACACUUCUUCCUCAUUGAGAAAACCGAGAUACAUUCGAAGCCACAGGGAACGUGGGACGUAGUCUGCAAAAGUCAAGGCCUCCCAGAGCUGAAAUACAAGGUCAUAUAUUACUUCAGAACACAAUGGGAUGGGUUUCUGAUAAGGGUUACCCGCAAAAGGGGGCCCAACCCCCAAUAACUUGUGAAUCUGCUCUUGAGAGCAUGCAGGUCUAAAGAAAUUCAGCUGAGAAAUGGGAGAAAUCCUGGUGUCAUGACAUUUCAUUCUUUUGAAUACUUUGUGAGAAAAAAAACAGAGGGAUGAGGGUAUUCUGUUACCAUGGCAACCUGGAGAGGCCCAGGCUGGGGGAUGAUACCGAGGAGCUGACAAAGCUUGGCAUCCUGAUUCUAGAUGAGAAAAAUGGGGCUGUGGAGGCCUGGAGAUUGGGUCAGAAUGAAUAUUCUUUUAUUCCUGCAUAGUUCUGCCACACUGCCUGAUUUAAAAAAAUAAUCCAUUAAAUUAAACAGCUUGCACAGUGACUGUGAUUGAUGAACACCUAAUGGAGUAUUCCCUCUACCUAGAAGGCCCUCCACUUUGUUUGGUUUCUACCCUCCUUCACUGCAGAGCUCCCAUCCUGCUUUCUGAAGGCAGUCUUUCUCAUGGACUGGCCUGGAACCCCAGACCUGCAAGGCGUGCCCCCAUGCCUUUUGUCUUGCUUCCCAGUGUUUGUUUAUAACACAGAAACCAUCCCCUUCAGCGGGUUGAAAGUGCUGCUUCAGAGUCUAAAUAGUGACAAUGUCUCUAAUCUUUUUUCCCCUCUUUCUUUUAAAAUAAAAAUAGCUAACAGUUACUGAGUGCUUAUUGUAUACUAUCCCAGUGCUAUUUAAUGUGUGGUCGACCACCAGCAGUAUCAAUAUCACCUGAAAAUUUGGUAAAAAUGCAAAUUCGAGGGCCCUACCUUGGGCAAUCAGAAAUUCUAGAACUUUGGAUCCAGGAAUCUCUUUUUAAUAAGUGCCAACUUCCCACCUUAGUGAUUCUCAUACACACCAAGUUUUGAGAGUCACUGUACUAGACACAUCUAAGUCUUCACAUUUUUUUCUUCACUUAAUUUUUGUAACAACCUUUAACCUAGCAACUAGUUAUCUCCUCACACAGAUGUGGAACAGAGGCACAGAAAGUAUGAGUAAAUUGUUCAAGGUCCCCAGGGUAUAUUAUUUUCAAAGAUGUUGACCACAAUCCCUUCUACUUUUUGGAUAGGACUUUGUCACUCCUAGCAAGAAAUGGAGUCUAUUUCCGUUCUUGAAUUGAACUGGUCUGUGACUUGCCUUGACCAAUAGAAUGCAAUGAAAGUACAUGGCGUGCCUUCUGAUGGAGGCCUUAAGAUGCCUCGCAGUGUCCGUUUUCAUUUUCCUAGUACCUUGACUCCUGCGUCAAGAAGUCCAGGCUCUCCUGCUGGAGAGACAGGCCAUACAGUAAUGGGGACCAUGUGGAGAGAGACGCCACGAGGAGGAGAACCACAGUGUGCCAGCCGACAGCCCUCCCUCCCUAAGCCGGGUCCUGUGGGGAAGGCCAUCUUGUGGGAGCCACAGUAACACCACAUGGAGCAGAGCCUUGCUUGUGGAGCGCUGCCUGAUGCCCAGCCUGCAAAAUAGGACCUGGAUUCCAGUGAGGAGUGUUGCAGCAGGCAAUGUGUUUCCACGGAGCAAGCCUUAGCCAAGUGGUUCCGGUAACCGUGAGUGCCCCAGCAAAGAAAAGUGAAGGUUUGCCCUAGAUGGGCAACUGAGCCUGCCCAGCGGCACCUUGGCAUCAGCAGCAGCAGCAGAAGCAGAGAACCUUAUUAUUUCUCGAAGAGAGGACCUUGCAUGGCAUCUCUAGCAGGGCACCUUCGACAUCCUGGUUGUCAGGCGAAUGUUUGGUGGAUGAAGUUGAAUUAUCAGCUGCCAAAUCUUUAUAGGUAUAAAAUAAGCUGAAAAGACCUGCUUCCCUUUUUGAGACAGUGUUUCGGCUGUCCCCAGAUUUCUGAGGUCAAAACAGAACCGUGCUCAUCAUCAGCUGUCACAGCGUCUCUUUUUGACCAUCUGGACCAAUUCAGGUGCUGCUGUCUUUGAGAAAUAGUUAUCACCCUGUGGGACUCUUCGGCCAGAGCAAGUACUCCUCCAGGUGGUGGUUAGGGAACAAGAGGGCAAUGGGCGUGGAUCGGCGAGGAGCCACCAAAUCCCCAAGGAACAUGCACUGCCUUCCCCUUCUCCCUCCAUUCUGGCCAGUGGUCUCUUCACGCAUUAAUGUUCUCCAAAUCCGUACACUGGCAUGGCUUGGAACCGAUGGUGCUGGAAUCCAGCAGCCUUCCGGAGUUUGCUGUUCUCCCCUCCUGGCCUGGAGGCCGGAUCUGCGAGGGCAGCUGCCUCUAAGUGUAGGGACGAACUCAGGAGUCCUGCGCUGAAAGCAGCUCAAUCCAGGAGAGUGGCCUUCUCUCCUUGCUGGCUGUGCUGCUGCUCGAGAGGAAGGCCAGGAGCAAACAUCGCAACCCCUAGGAUUAGGUGCUUGGGAGAUAGGCCCUUCCGCGGCCUCAGUCCCCUUGCUCCCCGUUUCCUCAGCUGAGUCCAGGUUGCAGAGCUGAGGAGAUCUGCUCACUCGUGGACGCCUUCAUGACGCGUACCCUCUGCAGAAGGGAUGGGGGCGCAUUACCAAUGGCGCCGCCGCUCCGGAGGCUAAGCAUCUGCGGGGCAUCUGCAGGCUGCAUGUGCCCCACCCCGGGACGAAAUGAAAUGUCUUUGCCUUUCCCCAGGAAGAGCCAUACUCUGCAGCUGGCGUGACUUGUUUGCCCACAGCUCAGCUAACACAUAUUCCUCGUUUCAUGGAGACGGCCGGAGCCAUUAAGGCCAAAACGACCUGAAGGCCAGUCAUGAAGGCACAAUCCAGGACUAGACCCCAGGCUCAUGUGAAGUGGCUGUGUUGACUGAGGGUGACCCCUGAACCCUGCUGCCUCCAUCAGCGCCACCUCAGCCCAUGCUGGAUCGAUUCAAGAUGAAUAAAAACGUUUACCAAGUG